rnacentral:misc_RNA from 1 species
GAAAUGCGAUACGUAAUGUGAAUUGCAGAAUUCAGUGAAUCAUCGAGUCUUUGAACGCACAUUGCGCCCCCUGGUAUUCCGGGGGGCAUGCCUGUCCGAGCGUCAUUGCUGCCCUCAAGCACGGCUUGUGUGUUGGGCCCCCGUCCCCCCCCCAAGGGGACGGGCCCGAAAGGCAGCGGCGGCACCGUGUCCGGUCCUCGAGCGUAUGGGAAGCAACUUUUUGUCACCCGCUCCUGUAGGUCCGGCCGGCGGCCUGCCCAACCCCAACCUUUUUUUCAACCAGGUUGACCUCGGAUCAGGUAGGGAUACCCGCUGAACUUAAGC